rnacentral:lncRNA from 1 species
GUUCAAAUCUUGCAUUGUGGCUUGAAUUUAGAAUUGCUGCAACACAAUUUAUUGUUCCCCUCUGUAGAUUUGAUUGAAGUCACUUCAAAGUUUGAUUCUGAUAGGCAUAGGCUCGACCUGGUUCAGCAUUGGGGAUUGAAACAUAAAACGGGUCAAAUAUCAGGACGAAGGAUUGAAAAUUAGAUGCCAAUAAGUCCAGGGUUGCAUGCAAUCCCAACAUUUUCUUACUAACCAUAUGAAUGCAGGGACCUAGCUUGUUUAACUGUAUAUAUGAUGCAUAUUGAUAUAAAUGUUUAUCAUAAUAUGAUUGCAUAUAUACAUGAUGGAGGUAGAGGUUGUGUAUUUAUCAAACAUCUUGACACAGUUGGAUAUGAGUAAGACUGCAGACUGUUCAUAGGAAUAUAAAAAGAGAACAUUCAUCAAAUAUGCUUCAUCUUGCACAUUCUUGGAUUGUGUUUCUAGAGUUCAUCUGACAGUCAUUUGGUGAUUGGUUCAAUUCUUUGACAGUUGACGGACAUGGCUAAAAGAGUACCCGAACAGUCAUAUACAGGCACAAUAUCCCAUUCACAUGCUUAUUGUAGCUGAAACUGAGAGUUGUUUGACCAGGCCACCUUAUCUUGAUCAUGAGUAUACUAACCAACAUAUUAGUUCCAAUUUUGUAAGGCAAGAGUGAAGGAACAACUGGAAUUUAAAGCGGAUAGUGACUGACUGGACAGCAACCUGAGGUGUAAAUGCUUUUUCGCUCAUCUGGUUGAGUUGAACAUAACAAUCCUUCAUUUUGACAUCACCUUGGAAGGAUGAAAUAUAGAGAAAU